rnacentral:misc_RNA from 1 species
CGCACAUUGCGCCCUUUAGUAUUCCAAAAGGCAUGCCUGUUCGAGCGUCAUUUGUACCUUCAAGCUUUGCUUAGUGUUAGGCGUCUUUUAUCUCCAGUUCGCUAGAGACUCGCCUUAAAGUCAUUAGCAGCCGGCCUACUAGUUUCAGAGCGCAGCACAAGUCGCGCUCUUCGCCAGCCAAGGUCAGCGUCCAGCAAGCCUUUUUUUCAACCUUUAACCUCGGAUCAGGUAGGAAUACCCGCUAAACUUAA